rnacentral:rRNA from 1 species
UGUACAAAGGUAGCAUAAUCAUUUGUCUCUUAAUUGGGGUCUGGAAUGAAUGGUUGGAUGAAAAAUUUACUUUCUUUUUUUUAUAAAAAAAAAUUGAUUUUUAGAUUAAAAAGUCUAGAUAGUUAUAAAGGACGAGAAGACCCUAUAGAACUUUAUUUUUUAAAUUAUUAUUUAAUUUUUGAAAAUUUUCUUUUUUAAUUUUUUCAAAAAUUAUAUUGGGGUGAUAAAAAAAAUUUUUUAACUUUUUUUAAUUUAUUCAUUUAUAUAUGAAUUAUUGAUCCUUUAUUAAGGAUAAUAAGUUUAAGUUACCUUAGGGAUAACAGCGUUAUUAUUUUAGAGAGUUCAUAUUGAUAAAAUAGUUUGCGACCUCGAUGUUGGAUUAAAAUAAGUUUCAGGAGUAGAAAAUUGAUUAACUAGGUCUGUUCGACCUUUAAAUUUUUACA